rnacentral:rRNA from 1 species
UACGUAGGGGGCUAGCGUUGUCCGGAAUCAUUGGGCGUAAAGCGCGUGUAGGCGGUCCGGUAAGUCCGCUGUGAAAGUCGGGGGCUCAACCCUCGGAUGCCGGUGGAUACUGUCGGGCUUGAGUACGGAAGAGGCGAGUGGAAUUCCUGGUGUAGCGGUGAAAUGCGCAGAUAUCAGGAGGAACACCAAUUGCGAAGGCAGCUCGCUGGGACGUUACUGACGCUAAGACGCGAAAGCGUGGGGAGCAAACAGG